rnacentral:lncRNA from 1 species
AGCAUAUGGAAGUUGCUAGGCUAGGGGUCAAAUUGGAGCUGCAGCUGCCAGCCUACACCAUAGCCACAGCAAUGUGGGAUCUGAGCCACGUCUGUGACCUACACCACAUCUCACGGCAACGCUGGAUCCUUAACCCAUUAAGCGAGGCCAGGGAUUGAACCCACAUCCUCAUGGAUACUAGUUGGGUUUGUUUCUGCUGAGCCACGACAGGAACUCCCAUCAUUUAUGAUCUUAAGGUGAGGAGUUUCUUUUUCUAUUCAUGUUGCCUUCUUUGCGGUGCUCCAGUUCUUCUCCAGUUAGAUGGAGAAUUUUAUGUAUGACCUGGUGCUUCCCUGGGGUAGUGCUGGGACCAAAAGCAAGUGGUCAGCAACGCCUCUGAAGUCUCUCCUGAGUCUUCAGCACCUCAGCACUGCUAGUGGUGCUGCUGGAAGAAGAGCCCAGGCAAACCAGCACACCCACCACCCCCAUCACCCCAAUCUUGGGUGGCUUCUCACUGCCCAGAGCAUCUGGACCAAACAGCCAGGUCUUCUACAGUCUCCCUGCCCAACCUCAUUUUCCACAAGUCCCAGCACCAGCCACACUGGACCUUCUUCUGGUUCCUAAACACCAUGCAUGUUGAUCCAGGACUACUGAUAUUCCAAAGCAAGCCUUGCUCCUCUCCAAACGCUUCUUACUUAUUCUGUUCCCUCAGCCUGCAGCUCAUUUUCUCCCCACCGAUGUUGUCUUAUGGUUCUCAGCAUAUGUCUUUCACCUCCUUGAUCAGUUUUGUUUUGUUUUGUUUUGUUUUAAAGUCUUUUAGGGCUGCAUCUGUGGCAUAUGGAAGUUCCCAGGCUAGGGGUCGAAUCGGAGCUAGGGCUGCCAGCCUACACCACAGCCACAGCAACACCGGAUCCCCAACCCACUGAGCAAGGCCAGGGAUCAAACCCACAUCCUCAUGGAUACUAGUCGUAUUUGUUUCUGCUGUGCCUCAACAGCAACUCCUAGGUUUAUUCUUAGGUACUUUGCUUUGGGGCGGGGUACAAUUUUUAAAUUGUAUUGUUCUUUUAUAUUCCCUUUCUUACUUUUCAUUGUUUGAAGCCAAGUCUUAAGGUCUAAGAGGCUAGUGUGGUGACCCUUUACUCAGUUUGACUGGGAAGCUUAAAAUUGUGACUUUGAACAUAUACUGAGUUUAAACUAAUCAACCUUUGUGUGAAGACAUGCAUAAAUUAUUAGAAAUAUGGAUGGACUUCACUAGAGAAGACCAGGCCAGAAAUAAAAAUUCUUAAAAUCAUUUGCUUAUUAUUUGAGAAUAUCUAGGAAAAGUAACAAUAGAAAGACCAAAUGUUUGGAGUUUUUCUAUAAAAAUGUGUUGAAAUUGUCUUUUCAGCUUUUUAAAAUUUGUAUUUUUUAUUUAUAUUUUUAAAAAAUAUGAAUCAUUUAUAUAUUUAUUUAUUUAUUCAUUUAUCCCCACCCACAGCAUGUGGAAGUUCCUGGGUUAGGGAUUGAACCCUUGCACAGCGGCAACCCCAGUCUCUGCAAUGACCAUUCCAGAUUCUUAGCCUACUGUGCCACAAGAGAACUCCUAAAAUUUGUAUUUAAUAUUUAUAAUUAAAGGGAUUCAAAAGUCAGGAUUAUUUAUGCUAAUGAUUUAAAUAAUCGCUUAUGAUAAAAUAAGACUUUCAUGACCCACAAAUGUUUAAGUGAAAUAAAGUAGUGUAAAUGGUUUUUAUAAUGGUUUAUUUCCCUAACAACAACAACAACAACAAAACCAGCAGAGAUCUUCAAACUCUACAGAUAAGGAAGAGGUGGUUUCUAUUUCAAUAACUUUAGAGUUGCUUCUAUUUUUAAAAUAAAGCAGUUGAUCGUGUUGUUGAUGUAACUGAAAAAUUAAUCUGGUGCUGGGACAGUUUGACAGACAAACAAAUGAGACUUGCCCCCUCCCUCAUACGAUAUUCAGACAUCAACUGCAGGUGGACUGAAAGCCUGAAUCUGAAAGGCCACUGUAGGAAGAUAACACAGGACAAUAUUGUUAUAAUCCAGGAGCAGGAAAGAUGUCUUAAACUGGACUCACAACAUGCUAAUAAUAAAGGAAAAGACUGACAUGCAGUUGACCCUUAAACAUGGUGAUGGUGGGUUGUUAGGGGCACCAACCCUCCCUCCCAUGAAAAAUCCCCUUGUAACUUCACAGGCAGAUCUUGUAGAUGCAGCUUGUCCAUGUCCUUGGUUCUGCAUCUUUGGACUCAACCGUCUGGGGACAGUGCAGUAUUUGCUAUUGAAAAAUAUCCGUCUAUAAGUGGGCCUGCACAUUUCAAACCCGUGUUGUUGAAGGGUCAGCUGUACCAGACUGCAUUAAAAUGAAGAAUACCUAUUCAUGAAAGACAAUAUUAUGUAAUAUUAUGGUGAAAAAGCAAAGCCCAGGUUGGAGAGAGAGAGAGAAAUAUAGCUGUAUAUAUACAUAUAGUGGUAAAUAGAUUAUACAUAUUCAAUAAAAUUAUCUAGAAGCAAACUGGGCAAUACAUUUGCACAAACACUUCACAGAAGAGGAAAUAUAACUGGCCAAUCAAUGUGAAAAGAUGCUUAACCCAACAGGACAUGGAAAUGCAGAUUCAAACCUCAAUGAAAUACCGCAACUCAUGUACCAGAAUGGUAAAAAAUGUUUCCAUUUUUGUUAAUUCCAAGUAUGUUGAAGGCUCAUGCAAGAGGAUACACUGAUAAAGAAUGUUCACAGCGCUGUGUGUAAUAACUAAAACCCAGAGAUAACCUAAAUGUCAAUUAAUAGUAAGAUGGAUGUUUUUAAAACUGUGGUAUAUUUAUGCAAUGGAAACUUCCACAGCAAGGAGAGUAAACAAAUUACAGUCACCAGAACCAACACAAGUUAACCUCACAGCACAGAGCUGAGCAAAUGAAGAUAAACUAUGGAGGAAAGAGGCAAGCAAGGAAGUGAUUACCCUAAGAGUCACGAAAGUGGUCACUUUUAGGGGGGAGUUGUGACCCAGAAAGGCACAAGUUGGCUGCUGGCAGUGUUGUUUCCUAAUCUCAAAAUAAAAAUUCUGAAACC